rnacentral:pre_miRNA from 11 species
UUGACAGAAGAGAGAGAGCAUUCAUAGUUCUUGCAUGAGAUAUGACAUACCUGAAUUUAUGUAUGCUCUCUUUUCUUUUGUCAU